AUUGAACGCUGGCGGCAGGCCUAACACAUGCAAGUCGAGCGGAUGAAGGGAGCUUGCUCCUGGAUUCAGCGGCGGACGGGUGAGUAAUGCCUAGGAAUCUGCCUGGUAGUGGGGGAUAACGUCCGGAAACGGGCGCUAAUACCGCAUACGUCCUGAGGGAGAAAGUGGGGGAUCUUCGGACCUCACGCUAUCAGAUGAGCCUAGGUCGGAUUAGCUAGUUGGUGGGGUAAAGGCCUACCAAGGCGACGAUCCGUAACUGGUCUGAGAGGAUGAUCAGUCACACUGGAACUGAGACACGGUCCAGACUCCUACGGGAGGCAGCAGUGGGGAAUAUUGGACAAUGGGCGAAAGCCUGAUCCAGCCAUGCCGCGUGUGUGAAGAAGGUCUUCGGAUUGUAAAGCACUUUAAGUUGGGAGGAAGGGCAGUAAGUUAAUACCUUGCUGUUUUGACGUUUCCAACAGAAUAAGCACCGGCUAACUUCGUG
rnacentral:rRNA from 1 species